rnacentral:pre_miRNA from 1 species
AGUACAAUUGCUGGGUCAUAUGGUAAGUCUGUAUUUAACUUUAUAAGAAACUGCCAAAUUGUCUUCCAAAGUGGUUGUACUAUUUUGUAUUUCUACUAGUAAU